rnacentral:rRNA from 1 species
UACGGGAGGCAGCAGUGAGGAAUAUUGGUCAAUGGACGAGAGUCUGAACCAGCCAAGUAGCGUGAAGGAUGACUGCCCUAUGGGUUGUAAACUUCUUUUAUACGGGAAUAAAGUGAGGCACGUGUGCCUUUUUGUAUGUACCGUAUGAAUAAGGAUCGGCUAACUCCGUGCCAGCAGCCGCGGUAAUACGGAGGAUCCGAGCGUUAUCCGGAUUUAUUGGGUUUAAAGGGAGCGUAGGCGGACGCUUAAGUCAGUUGUGAAAGUUUGCGGCUCAACCGUAAAAUUGCAGUUGAUACUGGGUGUCUUGAGUACAGUAGAGGCAGGCGGAAUUCGUGGUGUAGCGGUGAAAUGCUUAGAUAUCACGAAGAACUCCGAUUGC